UACGAAGGGGGCUAGCGUUGCUCGGAAUCACUGGGCGUAAAGCGCACGUAGGCGGCUUUUUAAGUCAGGGGUGAAAUCCUGGAGCUCAACUCCAGAACUGCCUUUGAUACUGAGAAGCUUGAGUCCGGGAGAGGUGAGUGGAACUGCGAGUGUAGAGGUGAAAUUCGUAGAUAUUCGCAAGAACACCAGUGGCGAAGGCGGCUCACUGGCCCGGUACUGACGCUGAGGAGCGAAAGCGUGGGUAGCGAACAGG
rnacentral:rRNA from 1 species